GGGCCUUGGGCACACCUGCCUGGCUGGUAAAAACCGAUCGUACUGGGGCUGCCGUUAAUCGUUGUGAAGAGGCUGCUGUCGCUGCAAGGAGUUCUGGAGAAAAGACCUCUACGAUCAGCUAGACCAGCCACCAACCCAUCACCACCUACUAACCGUGUUCCUCAGUGCCACAUCUACGCUUGAACACCUCCAGGGAUGGUGACUCCACCACCUCCCUGGGCAGCCCAUUCCAGUGCCUGCCUGACCAUUUUUUCGGGUAAAAGUCAGACACCCUUCUGCAGAACUGAAGCAACAAAUCAAGAAGCUGACUUUCUUCCUUGCCUUCAACUUUCACCUAAUUAGAAGAACGAAGACCACCCUUCUCACUCAGUACCCCAAGGCUCUACUCCAGCGGCACAAACCUGGCAUGCAGAGGUAAAACUACUUGUUCAUGAAACAGCAAAAAUAGCAAUGAGUAAAGAACUGAAAGCUAGGGAUUACCUGACCAAGAGUAUCUGUAUAUGAAUGACAACCCAGAAGACCCUGAGCAAAGCCAGAGCAGAAUGGAUGCUGUCUUCCUGAAGGGCCCCUUUCCAGUAUGAGUCACACGCAGAUUGACACUGUUUCUCAUCUCCCCAGAAUACAACUCAAAUGCAAAAUGCUAAAACUACAAUUCCAAACAGACAAACUUUUUGUGCCAGAAGCCCUAUAAAUGUCCACUACCAAUCCUUCUGUAGGGAAAGAGUCAGGAGCUCAUGAUGGAAGCAACAGCAGUAUUAGUGACAUUAUAAUUGCAAAAGAAGACCAAGCAGAGUGUCUUUUUGUUCUAAUUGAUCUCUAUUCCUCAUCAAAGAAGUUCAAAAUAGUUCACUAUUUCAGCUCUGAUUCUACUUGAGGCAUAAGUAAUUAUGACACCAGGUACGCUGCUGACUGGACAGUCCCAGAGGUUGGAUACUGCUGCAAAUCUGCUUUUCGAACACCUCUUCCCAAAAUAACUGCAUCUUAACAAGAACUUAAGUGAGCUACUCUAAUACACACACACACACACACA